rnacentral:rRNA from 1 species
ACGGCGAGUGAAGCGGCAACAGCUCAAAUUUGAAAUCUGGCUUCGGUCCGAGUUGUAAUUUGUAGAGGAUGCUUCGGCUUACGUACCGGUCUAAGUUCCUUGGAACAGGACGUCACAGAGGGUGAGAAUCCCGUUUGUGGCCGGCACUUCCGCCAUGUGAAGCUCCUUCGACGAGUCGAGUUGUUUGGGAAUGCAGCUCUAAAUGGGAGGUAAAUUUCUUCUAAAGCUAAAUACCGGCCAGAGACCGAUAGCGCACAAGUAGAGUGAUCGAAAGAUGAAAAGCACUUUGGAAAGAGAGUUAAAAAGUACGUGAAAUUGUUGAAAGGGAAGCGCUUGCGACCAGACUUGCCUGCGGAUGCUCAACCGGUCCUUCGGCCGGUGCACUCUUCCGCGGUCAGGCCAGCAUCAGUUCGGGCGGUCGGAUAAAGGCCUUGGGAAUGUGGCUCUCUUCGGGGAGUGUUAUAGCCCUUGGUGCAAUACGGCCCGCCUGGACUGAGGCCCGCGCUUCGGCUAGGAUGCUGGCGUAAUGGUCGUAAGCGGCCCGUCUUGAAACACGGACCAAGGAGUCUAACAUCUAUGCGAGUGUUUGGGUGUCAAACCCGUGCGCGAAAUGAAAGUGAACGGAGGUGGGAACCUUAGGGUGCACCAUCGACCGAUCCUGAUGUCUUCGGAUGGAUUUGAGUAAGAGCAUAGCUGUUGGGACCCGAAAGAUGGUGAACUAUGCCUGAAUAGGGUGAAGCCAGAGGAAACUCUGGUGGAGGCUCGCAGCGGUUCUGACGUGCAAAUCGAUCGUCAAAUUUGGGUAUAGGGGCGAAAGACUAAUC